rnacentral:rRNA from 1 species
CCUACGGGUGGCAGCAGUCGAGAAUUAUUCACAAUGGGGGAAACCCUGAUGGUGCGACGCCGCGUGGGGGAAUGAAGGUCUUCGGAUUGUAAACCCCUGUCAUGUGGGAGCAAAUUAAAAAGAUAGUACCACAAGAGGAAGAGACGGCUAACUCUGUGCCAGCAGCCGCGGUAAUACAGAGGUCUCAAGCGUUGUUCGGAAUCACUGGGCGUAAGGCGUGCGUAGGCUGUUUCGUAAGUCGUGUGUGAAAGGCGCGGGCUUAACCCGCGGACGGCACAUGAUACUGCGAGACUAGAGUAAUGGAGGGGGAACCGGAAUUCUCGGUGUAGCAGUGAAAUGCGUAGAUAUCGAGAGGAACACUCGUGGCGAAGGCGGGUUCCUGGACAUUAACUGACGCUGAGGCACGAAGGCCAGGGGAGCGAAAGGGAUUAGAUAUCCGAGUAGUC